rnacentral:rRNA from 1 species
CCUUACGGGGCGCAGCAGUCGCGAAAACUUCGCAAUAAGCGAAAGCUUGACGGGGCUAUCCCGAGUGCCAUCUGCUGAAGAUGGCUUUUACCUAGUAUAGAUAGCUAGGGGAAUAAGGAGAGGGCAAGUCUGGUGUCAGCCGCCGCGGUAAUACCAGCUCUCCGAGUUGUGGGGAUAUUUAUUGGGCCUAAAGCAUCCGUAGCCGGCUGAACAAGUCCCCUGUUAAACCCAGCGACUAAUCGUUGGUCUGCGGGGGAUACUGUUCGGCUAGGGGGCGGGAGAGGCCGUCGGUAUUCCUGGGGUAGGGGUGAAAUCCUAUAAUCCCAGGAGGACCACCAGUGGCGAAGGCUGUCGGCUAGAACGCGCCCGACGGUGAGGGAUGAAAGCUGGGGGAGCGAACCGGAUUAGAUACCCGGGUAGUCCCAGCUGUAAACGAUGCAGGCUAGGUGUUAGGGCGGCUACGUGCCGCUCUAGUGCCGCAGGGAAGCUGUUAAGCCUGCCGCCUGGGGAGUACGGCCGCAAGGCUGAAACUUAAAGGAAUUGGCGGGGGAGCACCACAAGGGGUGAAGCUUGCGGUUUAAUUGGACUCAAC